GAUGAACGCUAGCGGGAGGCCUAAUACAUGCAAGUCGAGCGGUAGAGUGACUUCGGUUGCUUGAGAGCGGCGCACGGGUGAGUAACGCGUACAUGACCUACCUUUAAGACUGGGAUAGCCCUGGGAAACUGGGAUUAAUACCGGAUGUGAUAAUACGUAUAGAGAUGUAUUAUUAAAGUUGAGGCGCUUAGAGAUGGAUGUGCGUCUGAUUAGCUAGUUGGUAGGGUAACGGCCUACCAAGGCGACGAUCAGUAGGGGGCGUGAGAGCGUGGCCCCCCANACGGGUACUGAGACACGGACCCGAUCCUACGGGAGGCAGCAGUAAGGAUAUGGUCAAUGGACGAAGUCUGAACCAGCCAUCCCGCGUGCAGGAUGACUGCCCUAUGGGUUGUAAACUGCUUUUAGCAGAGACGAAACGCCUUCAUUUAUGAGGGUCUGACGGUAUCUGCAGAAUAAGCACCGGCUAACUCCGUGCCAGCAGCCGCGGUAAAG
rnacentral:rRNA from 1 species